AUUGAACGCUGGCGGCAUGCCUUACACAUGCAAGUCGAACGGUAACAGGCCGCAAGGUGCUGACGAGUGGCGAACGGGUGAGUAAUGCAUCGGAACGUGCCCAGUCGUGGGGGAUAACGCAGCGAAAGCUGUGCUAAUACCGCAUACGAUCUAUGGAUGAAAGCGGGGGACCGUAAGGCCUCGCGCGAUUGGAGCGGCCGAUGUCAGAUUAGGUAGUUGGUGGGGUAAAGGCUCACCAAGCCAACGAUCUGUAGCUGGUCUGAGAGGAUGACCAGCCACACUGGGACGGAGACACGGCCCAGACUCCUACGGGAGGCAGCAGUGGGGAAUUUUGGACAAUGGGCGCAAGCCUGAUCCAGCAAUGCCGCGUGCAGGAAGAAGGCCUUCGGGUUGUAAACUGCUUUUGUACGGAACGAAACGGUCUGGGUUAAUACCCUGGGCUAAUGACGGUACCGUAAGAAUAAGCACCGGCUAACUACGUGCCAGCCGCCGCAGUAAAAC
rnacentral:rRNA from 1 species